UACGGAGGAUACAAGCGUUAUCCGGAUUUAUUGGGUUUAAAGGGUGCGUAGGUGGUUUUUUAAGUCAGUGGUGAAAUCUUAUAGCUUAACUAUAAAAUGGCUGUUGAUACUGGAAAACUAGAGUAAUAUUGGAGUAACUGGAAUGUGUGGUGUAGCGGUGGAAUGCGUAGAUAUCACACAGAACACCAAUCGCGAAGGCAGGUUACUAAGUAUUUACUGACGCUGAGGCACGAAAGCAUGGGGAGCAAACAGG
rnacentral:rRNA from 1 species